UCCUUGGUGAUCCAGUGGUUAAGAUUCCGUGCUUCCGUUGUGGGCGGCUCAGGUUCAAUCCCUGACUGGGGAA
rnacentral:tRNA from 1 species